rnacentral:rRNA from 1 species
UUGAACGCUGGCGGCAGGCCUGACACAUGCAAGUCGAGCGGCAGCGCGGGGCAACCUGGCGGCGAGCGGCGGACGGGUGAGUAACGCGUAGGAAUCUACCCAGUAGCGGGGGAUAGCCCGGGGAAACUCGGAUUAAUACCGCAUACGCCCUAAGGGGGAAAGCAGGGGAUCUUCGGACCUUGCACUAUUGGCAGAGCCUGCGUUGGAUUAGCUAGUUGGUAGGGUAAAGGCCUACCAAGGCAACGAUCCAUAACUGGUCUGAGAGGAUGAUCAGUGACACCGGAACUGAGGAACGGACCGGACUCCUACGGGAGGAAGCAGUGGGGAAUAUUGGACAAUGGGGGCAACCCUGAUCCAGCCAUGCCGCGUGUGUGAAGAAGGCCUUCGGGUUGUAAAGCACUUUAAGUGGGGAGAAAGGUUCGGCAGUUAAUACCUGCCGGAAGUGAUGUUACCCACAGAAUAAGCACCGGCUAACUCUGUGCCAGCCGCCGCCGUAA